AUUGAACGCUGGCGGCAGGCCUAACACAUGCAAGUCGAGCGGAUGAAGGGAGCUUGCUCCUGGAUUCAGCGGCGGACGGGUGAGUAAUGCCUAGGAAUCUGCCUGGUAGUGGGGGAUAACGUCCGGAAACGGGCGCUAAUACCGCAUACGUCCUGAGGGAGAAAGUGGGGGACCUUCGGACCUCACGCUAUCAGAUGAGCCUAGGUCGGAUUAGCUAGUUGGUGGGGUAAAGGCCUACCAAGGCGACGAUCCGUAACUGGUCUGAGAGGAUGAUCAGUCACACUGGAACUGAGACACGGUCCAGACUCCUACGGGAGGCAGCAGUGGGGAAUAUUGGACAAUGGGCGAAAGCCUGAUCCAGCCAUGCCGCGUGUGUGAAGAAGGUCUUCGGAUUGUAAAGCACUUUAAGUUGGGAGGAAGGGCAGUAAGUUAAUACCUUGCUGUUUUGACGUUACCAACAGAAUAAGCACCGGCUAACUUCGUG
rnacentral:rRNA from 1 species